rnacentral:rRNA from 1 species
UACAGAGGUCCCAAGCGUUGUUCGGAUUCAUUGGGCGUAAAGGGUGCGUAGGCGGCGCGGUAAGUCGGGUGUGAAAUCUCGGAGCUCAACUCCGAAAUUGCACUGGAUACUGCUCUGCUAGAGGGCUGGAGAGGAGAUCGGAAUUCACGGUGUAGCAGUGAAAUGCGUAGAUAUCGUGAGGAAGACCAGUGGCGAAGGCGGAUCUCUGGACAGCUCCUGACGCUGAGGCGCGAAGGCUAGGGGAGCAAACGGG